AGUGAACGCUGGCGGCAGGCCUAAUACAUGCAAGUCGAACGGCAGCACAGCAGAGCUUGCUCUGUGGGUGGCGAGUGGCGGACGGGUGAGGAAUACAUGGGAAUCUGCCCAGUCGUGGGGGAUAACGUAUGGAAACGUACGCUAAUACCGCAUGCGCCCUACGGGGGAAAGCCGGGGACCGCAAGGCCUGGCGCGAUUGGAUGAGCCCAUGUUCGAUUAGCUAGUUGGCGGGGUAAAGGCCCACCAAGGCGACGAUCGAUAGCUGGUCUGAGAGGAUGAUCAGCCACACUGGAACUGAGACACGGUCCAGACUCCUACGGGAGGCAGCAGUGAGGAAUUUUGGACAAUGGGCGCAAGCCUGAUCCAGCCAUGCCGCGUGAGUGAA
rnacentral:rRNA from 1 species